UGCCAGGGAUAAUAUGACAACUGUUAAUGUUGAGCUCUGAGUGUAGUUGCAUUAGUUUUGUUAAUGAUUUAGAGAGUAUUUUUACAUACAUGGGCAUGUUACUACAAUUUCUUGUAUUGAUAACAAUUGAAAAAAUUAUUUGACAAUAAGGGCUUAAUACACCGAUACACGGUAUCACCUGGCUAGUUUAAAAAUAAGAAUUUCCCAAGACUUACAUGGUUUGAUCUUGCGCCCCUCAUACCUUGUAAACUUCAAAGAAUGUCAAAGUGUACCCUGAAGUAAUCAAGUUUUAGGCAAUAUCUGCUUGUUUAUAAUUGCUUCAUGUGACUUUGCUAGUUUUCUGACCGACAAAACAUCAUAAGCAACAUAAACAUUCACUUAUUUAUGUAAAACUAUUCCAUAUUUUUAUAAAAUAUUAGUUUAAAAUACUACACAAAUGUAUGUUUUGUUCAGGUUCUUGCUUCACUGCGUUACUUGGCAAAGGGAGAUUUUUAUUCAGAAAUUGCUGACUUGCAUGGCAUCAGCAGGUCAAGUUUUUGCCGAAUAUUCCACAACUUCAUUGCAGCUGUAAACAACAGAUUAAAUAACAUCAGAUUUCCAAAUGGAGCUGAGUUGGUAAGAUGCAAACAUGCAUAUUACAGAAAGUGCAGACUGCCAAAUGUCAUUGGUGCAGUGGAUGGCACGUUGAUCCACAUUUGCACACCAACUGCCAAUGAAGAGGCAUAUGUGUGCAGAAAGGGGUAUCAUGCACUGAACAUCCAAGCAGUGGUUGAUGACAAACUCAGAUUUAUUGAUGUAGUGGAACGAUGGCCCGGGUCCACACAUGAUGCAUCAGUUUUUGACAACUGUGGAUUAAAGG